rnacentral:rRNA from 1 species
AUUGAACGCUGGCGGCAGGCCUAACACAUGCAAGUCGAGCGGAUGAAGCGAGCUUGCUCCUGCAUUCAGCGGCGGACGGGUGAGUACUGCCUAUGAAUCUGCCUGGUAUUGGGGGAUAACGUCCGGAAACGGGCGCUAAUACCGCAUACGUCCUGAGGGCGAAAGUGGGGGAGCUUCGGACCUCACGCUAUCAUAUGAGCCUAGGUCGGAUCAGCUAGUUGGUGGGCUAAAUGCCUACCAAGGCGACGAUCCGUAACUGGUCUGAGAGGAUGAUCAGUCACACUGGAAGUGAGACACGGUCCAGACUCCUACGGGGAGCAGCAGUGGGGAAUAUUGGGCGAUGGGGGAGAGCCUGAUACAGCCAUGCCGGGUGUGUGAAGAAGGUCUUCGGACUGUAAAGCAAUUUAAGUUGGGAGGAAGUGCAGUAAGUUAAUACCUUGCUGUUUUGACGUUACCAACAGAAUAAGCACCGGCUAACUUCGUG